CAGUCGCCGCGGGAAUACGAAGGGGGCUAGCGUUGUUCGGAUUUACUGGGCGUAAAGGGCGCGUAGGUGGACUGAUAAGUCAGGGGUGAAAUCCCAAGGCUCAACCUUGGAACUGCCUUUGAUACUGUUUGUCUUGAGCUCGAGAGAGGUAAGUGGAACUGCGAGUGUAGAGGUGAAAUUCGUAGAUAUUCGCAAGAACACCGAUGGCGAAGGCAGCCCCCUGGGCCAAUACUGACGCUCAUGCACGAAAGCGUGGGGAGCAAACAGGAUUAGAGACCCCUGUAGUCCCUGUCUCUUAUAC
rnacentral:rRNA from 1 species